rnacentral:rRNA from 1 species
UACGUAGGGGGCAAGCGUUGUCCGGAUUUAUUGGGCGUAAAGAGCGUGUAGGCGGCCUGAAAGGUCGGCUGUGAAAACUCGAGGCUCAACCUCGAGACGUCGGUUGAAACCAUCUGGCUAGAGUCCGGAAGAGGAGUGUGGAAUUCCCGGUGUAGCGGUGAAAUGCGCAGAUAUCGGGAAGAACACCCGUGGCGAAGGCGGCACUCUGGGACGGUACUGACGCUGAGACGCGAAAGCGUGGGGAGCGAACAGG